rnacentral:rRNA from 1 species
GAUGAACGCUAGCUACAGGCUUAACACAUGCAAGUCGAGGGGAAACGACAUCGAAAGCUUGCUUUUGAUGGGCGUCGACCGGCGCACGGGUGAGUAACGCGUAUCCAACCUGCCCAUCACUUGGGGAUAACCUUGCGAAAGUAAGACUAAUACCCAAUGAUAUCUCUAGAAGACAUCUGAAAGAGAUUAAAGAUUUAUCGGUGAUGGAUGGGGAUGCGUCUGAUUAGCUUGUUGGCGGGGUAACGGCCCACCAAGGCAACGAUCAGUAGGGGUUCUGAGAGGAAGGUCCCCCACAUUGGAACUGAGACACGGUCCAAACUCCUACGGGAGGCAGCAGUGAGGAAUAUUGGUCAAUGGGCGAGAGCCUGAACCAGCCAAGUAGCGUGCAGGAAGACGGCCCUAUGGGUUGUAAACCGCUUUUAUAAGGGAAUAAAGUGAGAGUCGUGACUCUUUUUGUAUGUACCUUAUGAAUAAGGACCGGCUAAUUCCGUG